GUAUAAAAGAUGUUAUUGCUUCAUAUCUUUUCUUAGUUGCCUGUAAUUUUUAAUUGUUGGACAGUAAAUUCCUUUUCUGAUAAUCAAUAGGAUUAUUUGGUGUUUCCAUUUGUUAAAUUUUGUUCCUUCACUAUUAUGCCUUCAUAAUAUUCAUAUUUUUUAAUAUUUUAUUAUUAUAUUUAUUCCAUUGAUUGUAAGGUUAUUCUCCUCAGUGAGAGAGAACUUGCGGGCUACCAAAAAGGAAUAUGCUAAAACAGAAGAUGAUCUGAAGUCACUUCAGAGUGUUGGACAAAUCAUAGGAGAUGUGCUCCAACCUCUAGUUAAUGAGUGUUCUGUUGCAGAUGUCUUACUUGAUGCAGUAUUGGUUUUAAGAGGUGAACCUAUGUUGAAAAUUCUCUAUAUAAAGCUAGUUGAGGUACAUACUAAUACUGUAAUCCUAGAGAAAUGGUUGACUUUCUCAAAUUAUUGGAGACAGAAAUGAAUGUCAUCAUCCUUAUCCUUCUUGCUGUCCUGUAUCCACUAUACAAGCAUUCCUAGUUAAAUCUCUAUAUGAAGUAUGGUUGUUACAGAACUUCCUUCAGAGUAUGCUAAGAAGGCCAUUGAGGCAGUAUUCUUGGCAUCUAUUUCUCCAUUACAAAUUUCUGAAGAUUAAAGUUACAAGUGAAGAUGCAAGUUCAGAGAAUGCACGGGCUCAUUAUUAUUUUGCUAAGAACAUUAUGUAAACUUGACAUCAAAUUCUAGCUCGGGAUGUUCAUUGGUUAGGGUUUUUUUUAUUUAGCAAAUAUUAAAACUAUUGACAUCAUAUAGCUCGAGAUGUUAAUUGGUUAAGUUUUUGUAGUUUAGCAAAUAUUGAAACUAUUGACAUCAUAUGCUAUCUCGGGAUAUUAAUUGGUUGA